rnacentral:lncRNA from 1 species
UGAGCUCCAGUACAAAUAAAUGUUGUUUGAUCUCUGGACGGAGGCUCCACUAAAACCUCCUAGCCUUCCUGCCCUCAUCCAUCUACGUCUUAGGGGAGUAUCAGCCCAACUCCAGGAACUUACGAGCAUAUUCUGGUAUCGUCAUGUUCCCUUGGACCAACUGGACAAACUCCAUCUCCUUUAAAUGUCGAAUGUGCUCUGGGAGGUACUCUGCAUGAAAGGCUGU